rnacentral:rRNA from 1 species
UACAGAGGGUGCGAGCGUUAAUCGGAAUUACUGGGCGUAAAGCGUGCGUAGACGGCUAUCUAAGUCGGGUGUGAAAGCCCCCGGGCUCAACCUGGGAAUUGCAUUCGAGACUGAAUAGCUAGGGUACGGUAGAGGGAAGUGGAAUUUCCGGUGUAGCGGUGAAAUGCGUAGAUAUCGGAAGGAACACCAGUGGCGAAAGCGGCUCCUGGUCCAGCAUCGACGUUCAGGCACGAAAGCGUGGGAGCAAACAGG